rnacentral:rRNA from 1 species
UACGUAGGGACCAAGCGUUGUUCGGAUUUACUGGGCGUAAAGGGCGCGUAGGCGGCAAUUCAAGUCAUCUGUGAAAUCUCCGGGCUUAACUCGGAACGGUCAGGUGAUACUGCUUUGCUAGAGUGCGGAAGGGGCAAUCGGAAUUCUCGGUGUAGCGGUGAAAUGCGUAGAUAUCGAGAGGAACACCUGAGGUGAAGACGGGUUGCUGGGCCGACACUGACGCUGAAGCGCGAAAGCCAGGGGAGCAAACGGG